GAUGAAGAACGUAGCGAAAUGCGAUAAGUAAUGUGAAUUGCAGAAUUCAGUGAAUCAUCGAAUCUUUGAACGCACAUUGCGCCCGCCAGUAUUCUGGCGGGCAUGCCUGUUCGAGCGUCAUUUCAACCAUCAAGCCCCAGGCUUGUGUUGGGGACCUGCGGCUGCCGCAGGCCCUGAAAACCAGUGGCGGGCUCGCUGUCACACCGGGCGUAGUAGAUUUUAUCUCGCUCAGGGCGUGCUGCGGGUUCCGGCCGUUAAAAAGCCUUUUUUACCCAAGGUUGACCUCGGAUCAGGUAGGAAGACCCGCUGAUCUUAAGCAUAUCAAUAAGCGGAGGA
rnacentral:misc_RNA from 1 species